CGAGUAAGAUCCCUUGAAGAUGACAAGGUAGAUAGGUCCGAGGUGGAAGCGUGGCGACACGUGCAGCUGACGGAUACUAAUCGAUCGAGGACUUAACUAAG
rnacentral:rRNA from 1 species